UACGUAGGGUGCGAGCGUUAAUCGGAAUUACUGGGCGUAAAGCGUGCGCAGGCGGCGCGUUAAGACAGGUGUGAAAGCCCCGAGCUUAACUUGGGAAUUGCGCUUGUGACUGGCGUGCUGGAGUGUGGCAGAGGGAGGUGGAAUUCCACGUGUAGCAGUGAAAUGCGUAGAGAUGUGGAGGAACACCGAUGGCGAAGGCAGCCCCCUGGGCUGAGAUUGACGCUCAGGCACGAAAGCGUGGGGAGCAAACAGG
rnacentral:rRNA from 1 species